AUUAUAUUAAUUAUGUAUUUAUUCACAAAUAAAUUUUACACACAGCCUCUACACAGAUUAGUAAACUUGGCACUUCUGGGAGUUCAUACAUAAAUUGGCACUGUAUCACGAGAUACAAGGCAAUUAGGACACAUUAUGUGAAGUCCAUUUGCGACUAACAGGUGGGAAGUAUACACUUAUUUGAAUCAUUAAUUCUUCCUGUUUUAAAACUGCUGCUAAAACUAUCUGAGAGCAAAGUGUACCAUGCUGGCUCUGUUGCCCAUAACAACAGAUCAGUCACAACUGAGAUGUAAAAUGCUUCUGUAUGUUUCCCUCAGCACUGUAAUCAGACUAACUGAAUGACUGUUAAAUGCUUAAGUUACAGGAAUGAUUGACAGGUAGCUGUGCUAGGUACCACAUACCACAUAUGGGGAUCAAGAGUUGUACUUCCAACACUGUACCACAUAUGGAUAUCACGAGUUGUAAUUUCAGUGCAACUACUUCCCAUGUACAAAAUGCAGAAUUUAUAAAGGCAAUAGAGGCAAAUUCAUUUGCUGUUGUAUCAGGCUUGUGGGACAGAGAAAUAGGGAAGAAUAUGGAUCCUUUGUGUUUGUGUUUGUGUUUGUUUGUUUGUGUGUGUGUGUGUGUGUGUGUGUGUGUGUGUGUGUGUGUGUGUGAGGGGAGCACACAAGUGCAUACAAAUCAAGUGGUGUGGUGUGGUAGGAAAUCUGAUACACAGGAAUGCAUUUAGAAAAAAACUCAGAUUAGGUAGUCACUACCAAACACGUUAUGUAGUCACAUCAAAUAUACAUAAAAUAGAUGCUGAUUUUUAAAAUUACUAAAAUCAGAGAUGCAAAUUUUCUUCUCCUUACAUUUAGAGGAUAACAUAGUUCAAACUUCAUUUUAUUGGAAGUAAGUUCACAUACAAAAUUUUAGUUAACAAUCUUUAUAAAUAUUAUAUGUUAAAAAUCAUUAAACAAAGAAAAGUAUUAAUAAACUUCACAUCACAUGAAAUUGUAUAUUAAAUAACAAAAUAUUUAUUUCAUUAAAUCUAAUGAAAAUUAAAUGAACACAGUUUAUAUAUCUGAAGAAACAACAACAAAAUUGUAUUCACUAUUACUAACAAAAAAAAUUUUUAGUAUUACUCAAUGCAGUGUGAAGAAAGGACCAACAAUUCAGGCACAAGAGUAUAAUAUUUCUGCUUAAGCAGAAUAAUCCUUUUCUAUUAUCUCUCAAUAUCCCAAACUACAUGAUGUCAACAUUACCACUACUUCACAUGGACAAAGAGAGAAAUUGAACUUCUGAAGAAAAUGGCAACAUUUGUGCACAGCAAUCCUAAUAGCGAAAAACCAAAGAACAAGUUACGUAAAGAACCCCUUCAUGCUUACAAAGUGCAGUGUGGUGCUCAUCCAUCUGUCCGAUGGAGCAUAAAAAGUGAUUCAUUUGAAAGUGGCACCUGCAAUUAGAAUGCUAUUGUCAUCAUAGCUGGAGGCAAUGAGAACUUUCGUUGCUUAUGAUUUAAAAUUCUUAGAUGGUUAAAAUUCCGUUUUUAAAUCACCACCUAUCACAAUAAAACGAACUGAAAUAUAUAACAGCAGUGGUGAAAAAUGCUACCUCUAUCAACACAUCCAUUUUGAAUUACUAUGUAUUUUUUUCUUUUUUGUUUACUGAGCGUUUAAUGUAAUUUUCCAUGUUACAUGGCAUGGUUCUUCUACUGCGCUAAUUGUGGAUGCGCUUCUGACCAAACUGUUUCAAGCACCCAUCUCCUACUCCUCUCUCACUGAGGUAGUAUCUUCUGGCCUUUGCAAAGCUGUUACCCAUUCAUCUCCUUUCUUAUACGGCACUAAGUAAACAAGAGGAGCAAGUCACAGAGUAAAUGCAAAUAUUUCACCAAAACUAGCAUUUACACUAGAUAUUACAUGUCACAAAAAGAGCAAUGUGUUGACUGGUCACAAAUGAACGAUGUAUUUUGAUUAAGGGUUCCCAGAAAUAGCUGUAACCAGUUGCUUUUUGUGAUUUUUCAAUUUUUAUCUCCCAUGACCAGUUUCAAAUCACACAGUAAUGGAAAUAAUGAUUUAUUUACUUUUUGUAACGCAUGUGGGACAACUGUAGUAAACUUUGUUUGGUUCAAUAAAUUAAUAUUACCAGAAAACAAACAUUACAUUUUCCAGAACAGCGUAUGCACCAGAAAUAAACCAUUGGAUGCUAAUAAUCCUACACAACAUCCACAAUGCUCCAAACAAUCAAUAAAUGUGAAGCAUCUGAUGAAUCACUAGGCAAUUCAAAACUGGUCAUGGUAAAUAAAAAUUAAAGAAUCACAAAAGGCGACUGGUUGCAGUUAUUUCUGGAAACCUUUAUUCAACACAGUCACAGUGUUCCACAUCCACAAUGAAUAAAAGUGUUUUGAUUGGUCAAAAGUUACCAAUGAAAUGAAUUAUCAUUUGACAAUUAUACUACACAGUUCUACAGAUUUAAUCAAUUUAAGCACUGAUAGGUUUCUGCCUGUCAUAUAACUUUAGUAUGGUUACAAUGAAGCAUAUAGGCACAUUUUGGCUUCACCAAAGUAAGUUGUUUUGUUUGAUGAGAGGAAAGUGUUUGGACAUUAAUUUAUCUUUUAUUAAUUUAGUUAGUACACAUUUAUGAAGCUAAUCUGAAUAGUACGUUUACAAUGCAACAUUAUCUUUGCAAACCUGCCAUAAAACUACAGAUCACUACGAGAAAAUUUUGAGACAGCAACUGUCCCUAUAGUUUUCACCAACUGUUGAGGCUUAACUAAUCAAGUAAUGACAACAGAUAUCAAGAGUAAGGAAGGAAGUACAGAGGUUCUGAAACAGCCUCUUGCACAAGGAACUUGGCAAGUUUAUCACGAAAAUACGUUCUGGGAAAGGCAGAACUGGAACGCAAGUGAAUAACGGAAUGUGUGUGUUCACUGUCACAACAUAUGCUUAGUAUCACUACCGCAUUAUUAGUGAAGUGAGCUCAAAACUACAAUGCCAUGUAGUGAAUACAGCGAACAUCCGUGAAAGUUCAAAUAAGACAUUAUCAUGAACUACAACUUUUCGUGUAUAUUUUCUUGCUCUGACGUGCUCAUUUAUUACUAUAACAGUUCAAAACAUUAAGAGAAGAAUUUCUGGCAAAAUUCUGGACAAAAAAAAGUAAAGUGAUACUGGCAGCUGACAUCAUGCAGUAGGACAGGACUGGUUCAUUUUUCUAACUCAUGUUACUGUCACUGAAAUUUCAUGAAUUACUGGUCCUUAUCAUUCAUACAUCUCACUGUAUAGCCUCCUUACAGAUUCAUGUACUACUUACAGUAGUCAGCACUUUUAUCAUAUACUGCAACAGAAUAGAACUCCUUUAGCACAAAAUAUUUGUUAACAGUUUUAAAACAUUAUCAAAAUAAUAAUUUAGAGAGCUCAAAUACGUCUCAGUUAUAUGAGCAAUGGCGAAUGAGUUAGUCUAGCUCACAUAAGAAUUAAUAAUUCUAAUUAGAGGCAUCAUUAGCCUUUCAAUUAUGCAACAAAGAGUCAAAGUCAGGCAAUGAGGUAUGAGGUUGUAGCAAUUGGGAUAAAAAUUAACAUAAAUAAAUAGUCUAUUUGCAGGCAUUACAUUCUAAUACUUAACACACAAUUUGUGGUGCAGCAGUACACAACUGGGGAACAACUAAUUGACAUGUUUUCUCAUUACAAUUGCACUGGCUAAACUAUAACUGCUAUAAUGCAAAUUUAAACAGAAAACUUCUCUCUCCUCCUAGCUUGUUUCCUGCUAUCCUUUGGCUCGACUAUGUAUUCUUAUGAAUGAUAGAUCAGAUACAGACCACAGCACAGGUAUCAUCUGCCCACCUGUAGCUGAGCAAUUCACAAAUACCUUGAGACAGCGGCAAAAGGUGACACUACACAGCUUCCCUCAAGGAACUAAAUCUCAUUUCCUAGAAAAAAAAUUGCUGAGUUAUAUUGGCAUUGAAAAUUUAUAGGUUUGCAGGUGAGAUCCACAUUGCUGCCACAGAUUUAAUUGUUGGGAACAACAGAUGUACAAUAAAAAGGGAGAGGGGAGGGGUGCAGAACAGCAGUCCUCUCAUCACGAAAUCGUGAAUUAACUAUUGACUUCUUCAGAAUAAUCAUAGCAUUUCAAGAAAUACAGCUAUUAAAGGAUCUUAUUAACUGGUUAGAAAUGAAUACAAGACUGUGUUAAGUAGAUCUGUAUGAAAAACACUGUACAGUGUUUUAUGCCACAGUGCUACUUUCAUUUAGUUGUUAGAAUUAGUAGUCAGCCAAUUCAACCAAUAGCUUUUCUUUUCUGCCUAUGAACAAAAUAGGAGAGAUUACAUUUACUGCGGAUUAUAUCAUGUGUACUAACUGAAUAUAGCAUAACCGGACAAAGAAUUUUGAAGCAAGAGGAGAGAAUAAACAAACUGUUUACACAUUUCAUGUUUAGCCUAAAAUACACAUUAUUAAAUUCGUUGUUGGUUUUUCUUUUAUAGUGUGUAACAGUAAUCUGAAAUGGCUUAUUUGGAAAUUCAUAUUUUUGAAUAAUUACAUGGUAACAGCUUAAAAAUCACUCAAAAGGAGAUAUACAUACUUUGUCUGAAAACGAAGCAAUUUCUGUGUCUCUCUCCUACUCUGUACAUCUGCUAUUUGGUGAGUAAUAGUC